UGAGAAGAAAAGAAGCUUGCUCAAGGUCACAUAGAGCUGGAAUUUAAAUUCAGAUCUAUUAUACUCUUAAGGACUGUGGAAGGAGCAAAAUCUGAUCCAGAGACUGUGGAUGCUGGAGGAGCGUCAAGGCUGGGAAAGUAACAUGCACUGUGUUCGCAAUCAACAGAAAAGAUAUUUUUAAACAAAAACAAUUUUCCAAGUUUCCAGGAAGAGAAACAAAAGGCUUUUCUAAAAUGAAAGAAACUGUUCUUCUCAUUCUGUGACUUUUAUGUCACUUGGACAACAAGCCAGUGCUUAGGAACGGUUAUUUUCCUGUCGACAUCGCUGCAUGGAUACUUCUUAGAAGAACAUAACAGCAUUAGCACUCAGUCCCAGGUUCUGCUCACCCUCCAAUGGCAGUCGUCUUCAAAAACAAUAAAGAUAUCUGUGCUUGGUC
rnacentral:lncRNA from 1 species